rnacentral:snoRNA from 1 species
CUAGCAGUGAUGAGCAGCUAACAUAUAAGAAGAUCUCACUUUGUGGGAGGUUUUCAAUGAAAUUUAUUUGUUACGCUUGGCUUCUGAGAAGA